ACCCGACUGGCGCAAUGGUAGCGCGUCAGUCUUCUAGUUUUCCGGUUUGGUUUGGGAGGAGUUAAUCUGAAGGUUGUGGGUUCGACCCCCACGUUGGGUU